rnacentral:lncRNA from 1 species
GUUUCCCAUGUUGCUUUGUGGAGUUGGACGUAAGACCAUUGAUUGGCACUCCGUUUCCCAUUUGUUUUCGGAGUUGGAUAUAAGACCAUUUAUUGGCCAUCCAUUUCCAGUUUUGUUGCUCCUUUGAGCUUGCUUAUUUGCUUUUGCCUUGUGUUGCCUAAUUCCAAAGGAACUUACUUGAAUCAUUUCUAUGAUUUUGAGAAAGCGAUUCCUAUUUGUGGCAUUGUCCCUUAACCCUUUUGUGCUUAACCUUGAACCUUG